rnacentral:rRNA from 1 species
CCUACGGGUGGCAGCAGUGGGGGAUAGUGGACAAUGGGGGGAACCCUGAUCCAGCGACGCCGCGUGAGUGCAGAAGUAUUUCGGGAUGUAAAGCUCUGUCAGCAGGGAAGAAAGAAAUGACGGUAGCUGACCAAGAAGACUCGGCUAACUACGUGCCAGCAGCCGCGGUAAUACGUAGGGGGCAAGCGUUAUUCUGAAUUACUGGGUGGAAAGGGAGCGUAGACGGUUAAGUAAGUCUGGAGUGAAAGGCCGGGGCCCAACCCCGGGACUGCUCUGGAAACUAUUGAACUUGGGUGCAGGAGAGGUAAGCGGAAUUCCUAGUGUAGCGGUGAAAUGCGUAGAUAUUAGGAGGAACACCAGUGGCGAAGGCGGCUUACUGGACUGUAACUGACGUUGAGGCUCAAAAGCGUGGGGAGCAAACAGGAUUAGAUACCCGGGUAGUC